rnacentral:rRNA from 1 species
GCGGCGUGCCUAAUACAUGCAAGUCGAGCGAACAGAAGGGAGCUUGCUCCCGGAUGUUAGCGGCGGACGGGUGAGUAACACGUGGGUAACCUGCCUGUAAGACUGGGAUAACUCCGGGAAACCGGAGCUAAUACCGGAUAGUUCCUUGAACCGCAUGGUUCAAGGAUGAAAGACGGUUUCGGCUGUCACUUACAGAUGGACCCGCGGCGCAUUAGCUAGUUGGUGGGGUAAUGGCUCACCAAGGCGACGAUGCGUAGCCGACCUGAGAGGGUGAUCGGCCACACUGGGACUGAGACACGGCCCAGACUCCUACGGGAGGCAGCAGUAGGGAAUCUUCCGCAAUGGACGAAAGUCUGACGGAGCAACGCCGCGUGAGUGAUGAAGGUUUUCGGAUCGUAAAGCUCUGUUGUUAGGGAAGAACAAGUGCGAGAGUAACUGCUCGCACCUUGACGGUACCUAACCAGAAAGCCACGGCUAACUACGUGCCAGCAGCCGCGGUAAUACGUAGGUGGCAAGCGUUGUCCGGAAUUAUUGGGCGUAAAGGGCUCGCAGGCGGUUUCUUAAGUCUGAUGUGAAAGCCCCCGGCUCAACCGGGGAGGGUCAUUGGAAACUGGGAAACUUGAGUGCAGAAGAGGAGAGUGGAAUUCCACGUGUAGCGGUGAAAUGCGUAGAGAUGUGGAGGAACACCAGUGGCGAAGGCGACUCUCUGGUCUGUAACUGACGCUGAGGAGCGAAAGCGUGGGGAGCGAACAGGAUUAGAUACCCUGGUAGUCCACGCCGUAAACGA